UUACUGUAUAUCACCCAGUAUAAUACUGUAAACUAUUUAUACAGUACAUAACUGUAAUUCGCGUUGCAUUUUGGGAAUUUUCGGUGACAUCAUACAUCAUAUACAGUAAUCUACUUUAUUUUUGAAAAUUGCUGUAUGCUACUGUAUAUUUUCUAACAGUUUUUUGGCGGUAUUUUCCUUAUUCACACAAAUCCUUAUAUUAUUUUUCUCAAAAUCAUCAUUUUUGACAAUUGUAUACACACAGGCGUUGACUUAUUUUAGCUAAGGAACCAUGUAGCAGCACAGGUGUUCAGAGGACCGAUUUCAGGUGUGCACAUAAACUGAAGAGUUUUCAAACAAGCCUUUCCCUGGGACAGCGGCGCUUUUCAGUUGAAGAUACACGAGAGGAGAGACUGAAAAAAGACCAGCAAGGUAAAAUAAUCUAUAUAAGUUAUUUAUUAUCAGACCCGCGGUUGUUGUUUACACGAACGGGACAUUUUAAAACCGUUAACCGGACGCGUUGCUUAACGUAUAACGGUAAUAUUAGUUUGCAAAGUCAGUAUAAACCAAAUUAAUAAAUCAUACUAUGUGUAUGCAAGCCUACGAGCACACGCGAUGCGUUAAAUUACACGCUAGUGUUUUCCUUUUAUAAAACUAUUAUGAAGAAAUGCUUAACGUAGCCUAAUGUAUACGUCAAUGAUAUGAAAAGAUCAGAUUUAACGUUACCUGAGAGAAUAAUUUAUUAAUAUAAAAGCAUAUUUAACAAAGUACCCUAAAUUACAUGAAGCUGGGAGGAAAACUCUAAAUGUGUAAGUUACCACGUUGUGUUUAUAUUCUCAUCCGCUUGGCUUUACCUGUUACAUAAAUUAUGCGUUAUUAAUAAGGUGUAUAACUAAAUUUUAUCUUUCAAAUUCGUUAAACUACGUUAAGCAUUUUAGCGUAUGUUAUGUGUGUGUGGUGGCCAAUCGGAAAAACAUUAUAUUUUAAAUGUGAAUAUGUUUAAACAUAAAGGCUGAAACCUAAUUUGCAUAAAAUAAAGUUUUAAAAUGUGUUUUUGUUUUGUAUUAAAUUGCUUUUGAGACCAAGGUAGCUGUACAGUAAAUAUUCAGCCUCGAUCAGAAAACCACGUCCCACUGUCAUAACACACAGACCUGUGGCCAUGUGUAGUGAUUUGAGUAGUGUACAUCUACUCUGGUUAUCAUUUCAAAACAGUAUUUACUGAAAAAUAUGAGUGUUUAGCAUCAUGUAUUAAAUGUGUUAAAUAUGUCCUUUUUUUCCCUGCCUUUAUUCUGCUGUCUAAAAUUCUUUGGGAGGAUAAAUGAAGGAGGAUGUAACAAAAUACACUGCAAGAACUGGAGUGAGGAUGAAGAGGACAACAGAAUAUCCAUCCUUUCUUCACCACCUCACAGAGUUUGAGUGAAACAACUUGUAUUAGGACUCACAGGAUUAUUUUAUAACAAGACUGAUUAUUUUAUACCAGAAGUAUGGUAUUUUUUUGAAGCUACUGUAUUAUUUCUUAUGACAAUUCAUUUUGAUGUGCAUUCAGAACUGUAAGUUGUGGUAGUGGAUCAUGAUCACCUCUCUAGCUUCAAAAGUAGGAUGCAGAAUGUAUAACACCAAAUCAUUAUAGCAUAACUCCAUGUAACUUGACAUAAUUUAAA